GCGGAUGUGGCGGAACUGGCAGACGCGCAUGGCUUAGGACCAUGUGGGGAAACUCAUGGGGGUUCAACUCCCUCCAUCCGCA
rnacentral:tRNA from 1 species